rnacentral:rRNA from 1 species
CCUACGGGUGGCAGCAGUGGGGAAUUUUGGACAAUGGGCGAAAGCCUGAUCCAGCAAUGCCGCGUGCAGGAAGAAGGCCUUCGGGUUGUAAACUGCUUUUGUACGGAACGAAAAGGUCUGCCUUAAUACGGUGGGCCCAUGACGGUACCGUAAGAAUAAGCACCGGCUAACUACGUGCCAGCAGCCGCGGUAAUACGUAGGGUGCGAGCGUUAAUCGGAAUUACUGGGCGUAAAGCGUGCGCAGGCGGUUAUAUAAGACAGUUGUGAAAUCCCCGGGCUCAACCUGGGAAUUGCAUCUGUGACUGUAUAGCUAGAGUACGGUAGAGGGGGAUGGAAUUCCGCGUGUAGCAGUGAAAUGCGUAGAUAUGCGGAGGAACACCGAUGGCGAAGGCAAUCCCCUGGACCUGUACUGACGCUCAUGCACGAAAGCGUGGGGAGCAAACAGGAUUAGAUACCCAUGUAGUC